ACUUGGGCUUCGGCCCAGGGGAAAGCGGCGAACGGGUGAGUAACACGUGGGUAACCUGCCCUCGGCACCGGGAUAGCCCGAGGAAACUCGGAUUAAUACCGGACAGCCUCAUGAGCUCUCGGGCGAAUGAGAAAAGGUGGCUUCGGCUUCCGGCUGAGGAUGGGCCCGCGGCCGAUUAGCUUGUUGGUGAGGUAAUGGCUCACCAAGGCUCCGAUCGGUAGCUGGUCUGAGAGGACGAUCAGCCACACUGGGACUGAGACACGGCCCAGACUCCUACGGGAGGCAGCAGUGGGGAAUCUUGCGCAAUGGGCGAAAGCCUGACGCAGCGACGCCGCGUGCGGGAAGAAGGCCUUCGGG
rnacentral:rRNA from 1 species